rnacentral:ncRNA from 1 species
CGGUUUAGAGGUUGAAAAGUAUUCCCGCUCCAACGCGCUGUCUUAAUGACAGGCCGAGAAAUGUGGGCGACCGCGGGUCCCACCUAAAUCG